rnacentral:tRNA from 2 species
GCGAGAGUAGUUCAUCGGUAGAACGUCUCCUUGCCAAGGAGAAGGUAGCGGGUUCAAUUCCCGUCUCUCGCUCCA